ensembl:lncRNA
CAGAAAAUUGCUCUCUUCUCUUCUCUUCUCUUCUCUUCUCUUCUCUUCUCUUCUCUUCUCUUCUCUUCUCUUCUCUUUCUUCUCUUCUCUCUUCUCUUCUCUUCUCUUCUCUUCUCUUCUCUUCUCUUUUCUCUUCUUCUCUUUUCUCUUUUCUCUUCUCUUCUCUUUUCUCUCUUCUCUUCUCUUCUCUUCUCUUUUCUCUUCUCUUCUCUUCUCUCUUCUCUCUUCUCUUCUCUUCUCUUCUCUUUUCUAUUUUCUCUUCUCUCUUCUCUUUUCUCUCUUCUCUCUUCUCUACGGAGACACCUAGCAGACUCGAUAUAGACCCCAAUGAAGUGAGGGGCCGGGACCUUUUCUCUGCAGGUUGAUAACAUUAACUUAGUUAAUGUGGUUUGGUGACAAUGGAACUUUACCAAGUUAAUGCCAAUGGAAGAACACAGUUCUUUCAUAGAGAUGCCAAUAAAGCCACUGUAGGAAGAUAUCCCCAAUAAUCUCUGUGUGGGACAUGGCAUAUGAAAUAUUUCAAACAAGGAGCAAUGUGGAGGACAGUGAGUCACAGGCUUACCCCUGAAGAGAUUUCCCAUUCCCAGGAGAGACGGUGAAGCAGAGGAGGAGGGCAAGUUCCCAAAAGUCAUAAAGCAAGGCUGCCUGGAAGUUACCACUCCUGACUUAAGCUUAGCCUAGUAAGAGAAGCCAACUGGUCCUUGGACAGAGUCUGGGAAGGAAAAUUCUACGAAGUUGUGUGAAAGCCCAAACCUGCAAGAGGGUGUAGAAAAACAAUUCAAUGAACAGAUUCAAGAGCCAGAGACCUAUUGGCUGAUGCCACUCUGUGCCUAAAACUCCUCAGUUGAAAGGAUAGCAAGGUACAAGUAGAAGCCUGCUUUGGGAGAUUAUUUGCAAAGAUUGUAAGAUCAUUCUGUAGGGUGUUUAGCCAAGUUCCCAUCAAUGAGAAACUCAUGGGUAAGACUCCAGUAAAAAGUCAAUUUGCGCAGCAGAAGCUAUUGGCUACAGAGCGGGACAUUGCUCCAUUACAGGAAGACGUAUCAGUGAGCACAUCCUUCAUGCAGUUGUAGGCUGGAUAACAAGACUGAACAGCAUGGAAUACCUUUAUUCUUGGCCCCAAAUAGGAGCAGAAGGAGAUGAGCUUGCAGAGCAACUUCCCCAAUCUGUUUGGGGUUGGGCGGUUUCGGAUUUCAGAGCUGAGUACACACGGCAUAUAAUGAAGCCCAAGCGAGGAAAAUGAGCACACGACAAACCUAACAUCCUCUGGAUGCUGACCACACCUGGUUUGUUCCAUGCUUACCAUCACAACAGAAUUUAACGACCACACCAAGGAGCUGUCAUAAACACCUCUCCCCAUCUCAAAGUUGAGAAAACAAGGCAUGGGGAGCUCAGAUGGCUGCACAGAACUGUGACCUGACCAAGAACACUGGGCUCUGGAGGAUUCUAAGAGUGUGCCAGAAUAAUCACCCACGUGGCCUGCUUAGCCUAAAGGUAGACUUGUGAACAAAUGAACUAGUAGCCUUUUUAAUGUGACCUGCUCAGUAGAGAAAUUUCUGAUGGAUCCUACAGGAGACAGAAGUUGCUAUGUCAGAAUAUGUGUGAAACACCCCACUACUCUUUUUUUCUUCAAAUGUGAUCCAUUGGCAAGAGAUUCUGGUGAAGAGAAGAGUUAGACAUCAGUGGAGAGCCUACUUUGUAAUUCCCUUCAAAA